AUUAUCCUACGGGACGCAGCAGUCGGGAAUAUUGCACAAUGGGGGAAACCCUGAUGCAGCGACGCCGCGUGAGCGAAGAAGUAUUUCGGUACGUAAAGCUCUAUCAGCAGGGAAGAAAAUGACGGUACCUGACUAAGAAGCCCCGGCUAACUACGUGCCAGCAGCCGCGGUAAUACGUAGGGGGCAAGCGUUAUCCGGAUUUACUGGGCGUAAAGGGAGCGUAGACGGCCGCGUAAGUCUGGAGUGAAAUC
rnacentral:rRNA from 1 species